GACGAACGCUGGCGGCGUGCCUAAUACAUGCAAGUCGAGCGGAUCUCGAGGAGCUUGCUCCUUGAGAUUAGCGGCGGACGGGUGAGUAACACGUGGGCAACCUGCCUGUAAGACUGGAAUAACACCGGGAAACCGGUGCUAAUACCGGAUAAUUCUUUCCCUCACAUGAGGGGAAGCUGAAAGUCGGCUUCGGCUGACACUUACAGAUGGGCCCGCGGCGCAUUAGCUAGUUGGUGAGGUAACGGCUCACCAAGGCAACGAUGCGUAGCCGACCUGAGAGGGUGAUCGGCCACACUGGGACUGAGACACGGCCCAGACUCCUACGGGAGGCAGCAGUAGGGAAUCUUCCGCAAUGGACGAAAGUCUGACGGAGCAACGCCGCGUGAGUGAUGAAGGCCUUCGGGUCGUAAAACUCUGUUGUUAGGGAAGAACAAGUAUCGGAGUAACUGCCGGUACCUAACCAGAAAGCCACGGCUAACUACGUGCCAGCAGCCGCAGUAAUAC
rnacentral:rRNA from 1 species